UACAGAGGGGGCAAGCGUUAUUCGGAAUUAUUGGGCGUAAAGGGCGCGUAGGCGGCUUGGCACGUGGAUGGUGAAAUCCCUCGGCUUAACCGAGGAACUGCCGUCCAAACUGCUUUGCUUGAGACCGGGAGAGGUGAGUGGAAUUCCCAGUGUAGCGGUGAAAUGCGUAGAUAUUGGGAGGAACACCAGUGGCGAAGGCGGCUCACUGGACCGGUACUGACGCUGAGGCGCGAAAGCUAGGGGAGCGAACGGG
rnacentral:rRNA from 1 species